UGGAAGUCUAUGUAGAUGGUUAAUGUUCCGUCCCAGUGUUGCCGGGCUGGUGUUAUUACAACCCCUCAUUAACUCCUGUGGAUUAGAGGAACCAGCCUCAAUGUCUGGACUCACCAACAUCCUGUCAAGAUAUUUAAAAAUGAAUCUCAAAGGACUUGGAGCCUUCACAUAACAACUACAACAGCAACAACAACAAUGAUUACAAAAGGAUGAUCUCCAUCUCUUAGUGGUAAGACUGUAAGAUUUUUAUUUUUUUCUUUGUUUCUGUUGUAUUUC
rnacentral:lncRNA from 1 species